rnacentral:rRNA from 1 species
AUUGAACGCUGGCGGCAGGCCUAACACAUGCAAGUCGAGCGGAUGAAGGGAGCUUGCUCCUGGAUUCAGCGGCGGACGGGUGAGUAAUGCCUAGGAAUCUGCCUGGUAGUGGGGGAUAACGUCCGGAAACGGGCGCUAAUACCGCAUACGUCCUGAGGGAGAAAGUGGGGGAUCUUCGGACCUCACGCUAUCAGAUGAGCCUAGGUCGGAUUAGCUAGUUGGUGGGGUAAGGCCUACCAAGGCGACGAUCCGUAACUGGACUGAGAGGAUGAUCAGUCACACUGGAACUGAGACACGGUCCAGACUCCUACGGGAGGCAGCAGUGGGGAAUAUUGGACAAUGGGCGAAAGCCUGAUCCAGCCAUGCCGCGUGUGUGAAGAAGGUCUUCGGAUUGUAAAGCACUUUAAGUUGGGAGGAAGGGCAGUAAGUUAAUACCUUGCUGUUUUGACGUUACCAACAGAAUAAGCACCGGCUAACUUCGUG